GCAUAGGUCCGUUGGUAGAACAUGAGACUUUUAAUCUCAGGGCCGUGGGUCGGAGCCCCACGUUGGACA